rnacentral:rRNA from 1 species
AUUGAACGCUGGCGGCAUGCCUUACACAUGCAAGUCGAACGGCAGCACGGGUGCUUGCACCUGGUGGCGAGUGGCGAACGGGUGAGUAAUACAUCGGAACGUACCUUAUCGUGGGGGAUAACGCAGCGAAAGCUGUGCUAAUACCGCAUACGCCCUGAGGGGGAAAGCGGGGGAUCGAAAGACCUCGCGCGAUUAGAGCGGCCGAUGCCUGAUUAGCUAGUUGGUAGGGUAACGGCCUACCAAGGCGACGAUCUGUAGCUGGUCUGAGAGGACGACCAGCCACACUGGGACUGAGACACGGCCCAGACUCCUACGGGAGGCAGCAGUGGGGAAUUUUGGACAAUGGGCGCAAGCCUGAUCCAGCAAUGCCGCGUGCAGGAAGAAGGCCUUCGGGUGUAACUGCUUUGUACGGACGAAAAGGUCUGGGUUAAUACCCUGGGCUCAUGACGGUACCGUAA